AUGACCAUAGAUCGAACCUAUCCUAUUUUUACAGUGCGAUGGCUGGCUAUUCACGGACUAGCUGUACCUACUAUUUUUUUCUUGGGAUCAACAUUAGCAAUGUAG
rnacentral:rRNA from 1 species